UAAAAAUUAGUGUAUUAAUUUUUACUUCCCUCCAAUUAUUUCGUCAAUGAAAUAUUCCCUCUUUUGUCGUACACAUAUUCACCCACAAUUUCCCAAAGGAUUCUUCUAUGCCACGGUAAGCCAUAGAAGAACUAGGGUUUCUUGAUUCAUCUCUCGCAUUAUCGUCUCUCUCACUACACCAGCCAAUAUCACUUGUUUCAGGCCCUACGUGAAGUAGUUGCAGAAGAGGGAGAAUGGUAGAAAUUUGGAGAUGAGAAAUCAUAAGUAUCACUGAGUUCUAAGAAAGUGAUGCCUCCUUAUUGCUGUAUGAGAUCAUGGACGUGCAAGCCUAGAUAAAUCACAAAAAGAUUGAUGCAACUAACGCAAGAGAUCAUGGGAACUUCAAUAUCUGGUUUCAAAAAUGCAUUGAUAACAUGCACAAAACUUGUAUCAUGCUGGUGCAAUUUGAGAAGUUGAUCUAGUGAAAUGUAGCUCCUUAUCCUGGUGCAUAAUAAGGGUUGAUUUGGUGCAAUCUAGCCCAUCAUUUCGGUUCACAAAUGGAUCUUUAAGCUUGUGCAAGUACGUGUGGCACAUAUGGAAGACUUCCAUAUGAUCAAGGAAUGAAAAAAAAUUGUUAGACGUGAAAAUGUAUUGGAUUCAAAUGAUUUUCCUCCUCCUAUGUAUUUACACUUUGA